UGGCAUUAGAGUUUGAUCCUGGCUCAGGACGAACGCUGGCGGCGUGCCUAAUACAUGCAAGUCGAGCGGACAUCUUCGGAUGUUAGCGGCGGACGGGUGAGUAACACGGGGGUAAUCUGCCUGUUAGACUGGAAUAACCCCUGGAAACGGGUGCUAAUGCCGGAUACUAAUUUUUAAGGCAUCCUAAGACUUUGAAAGGUGCUACCGCACUACUAAUAGAGGAACCCGCGGCCCAUUAGCUACCUGGAGGGGCAGAAGCGUUUUGGAGGAAAGAUUGGUGGCAAACAUCCAAGCCGCANAAAAAACACCCGAGGGGGGGGGGGGGGGCGAAUUUAGGGGGGGGGAGAACAAGGAAAGAGCUAAAACGCCCAGAAAAGGAGAACACCCGCUGAGAGAGUACUCUGGAGGAUGGGCGUCUCAGGGAGGGACAUUUUAGAGGGAAGUAGCUAAGGAGGCCUCCAUGGGGCGGAAAGCAAAAAGCACAGCACUUAUCCCCACAUAAGAAAUGAACCAAGAGCUUUAUAUGAACUAGUCUGGCCGAAUAUCGCGAAGUUGCAAGGGGCUCUGGAGAGCGAGCGCCUUGGUGUAUAAUGAAGACGUCCCCGCGCGACGGAGGACGGAGCACUAUCAAUCUUGGUUCUUUGGUAGGAGAAGGAUCAAGAGCGUGAGAACACACUGAGCGGCCAUGGCUCGAUAAAUUCACUUAUCGCGGUGACACGCCCGACAGAAGCCCAGACACAAUAGCCGACAGCCUCUACUCCACAACAGAUAAUCAUAGGUCGCCGUGCGAGACAAAGUGCCACAGCGAGCUAGAACAUAGUCGCACGGACCAAUCCACCGGGGGACGAGGAGGAGAAGGAUCACGUGGACUGAUGAAG
rnacentral:rRNA from 1 species